rnacentral:rRNA from 1 species
UACGUAGGGUGCAAGCGUUGUCCGGAAUUAUUGGGCGUAAAGAGCUCGUAGGCGGUUUGUCGCGUCUGCUGUGAAAACCCGAGGCUCAACCUCGGGCCUGCAGUGGGUACGGGCAGACUAGAGUGCGGUAGGGGAGAUUGGAAUUCCUGGUGUAGCGGUGGAAUGCGCAGAUAUCAGGAGGAACACCAAUGGCGAAGGCAGAUCUCUGGGCCGGUAACUGACGCUGAGGAGCGAAGCGUGGGGAGCGAACAGG